ensembl:lncRNA
GUUUUUCACAAAACCCUAAAUAGCCAACUUCCUGUUGGGCGGAGCUUAUGACAUGCAGUGCGAAAGUUGUUUGGUUUGAUGAGAUCUACAUGUGUACCGAGUUUCAUAUGUAUACGUGCAAGUAUGCAUGAUAUAUGGCCCUCAAUAUUCCAGGGGGCGCUGUAGAGCCCCUGUGCCACGCCCGUGUAUCAGUCUCUGCCCGGCCCUAAUGGCCGCAGAUUCCAAGGUGUGUGCAAAUUUUCAAGAGUUUUUGAGCAUGUUAAGGGCCCCAAAAAGCCCCCCACAACUUUGACGAAAAAUAAGAAUACUAAACCCUAAAUAGCCAACUUCCUGUUGGGCGGAGCCUAUGACAUGCAGUACGAAAGUUGUUUGGCUUGAUGAGAUCUAUAUGUGUACCGAGUUUCAUACGUCUACGUGCAAGUAUGUAUGAUAUAUGGCCCUCCAUAUUCCAGGGGGCGCUGUAGAGCUCCUGUGCCACGCCCGUGUAUCAGUCUCUGCCCGGACCUAAUGGCCGCAGGUUCCAAUGUGUGUGCCAAUUUUCAAGAGUUUUCGAGUAUGUUAAGGGCCCCAAAAGCCCCCGAGACGUUGGAAAAAAAAAAUAAUAAUAAUAAUAAUAAUAAAAAAUAAUCCUAAGGAAAACAAUAGGGCUCUCGCCCUCCAG